rnacentral:rRNA from 1 species
ACACGGGGGGCGCAAGCGUUAUUCGGAAUUAUUGGGCGUAAAGGGCGCGUAGGCGGUUUUGUCGGUCAGAUGUGAAAGCCCGGGGCUCAACCCCGGACGUGCAUUUGAAACAGCAAGACUUGAGUACGGGAGAGGAAAGCGGAAUUCCUGGUGUAGAGGUGAAAUUCGUAGAUAUCAGGAGGAACACCGAUGGCGAAGGCAGCUUUCUGGACCGAUACUGACGCUGAGGCGCGAAGGCGUGGGUAGCGAACAGGAUUAGAAACCCCAGUAGUCC